rnacentral:rRNA from 1 species
GACGAACGCUGGCGGCGUGCUUAACACAUGCAAGUCGAACGGAAAGGCCCUGCUUUUGUGGGGUGCUCGAGUGGCGAACGGGUGAGUAACACGUGAGUAACCUGCCCUUGACUUUGGGAUAACUUCAGGAAACUGGGGCUAAUACCGGAUAUGAGCUCCUGCUGCAUGGUGGUGGUUGGAAAGUUUCGGCUGUUGGGGAUGGACUCGCGGCUUAUCAGCUUGUUGGUGGGGUAGUGGCUUACCAAGGCUUUGACGGGUAGCCGGCCUGAGAGGGUGACCGGCCACAUUGGGACUGAGAUACGGCCCAGACUCCUACGGGAGGCAGCAGUGGGGAAUAUUGCACAAUGGGCGGAAGCCUGAUGCAGCAACGCCGCGUGCGGGAUGACGGCCUUCGGGUUGUAAACCGCUUUCGCCUGUGACGAAGCGUGAGUGACGGUAAUGGGUAAAGAAGCACCGGCUAACUACGUG